AAACUGUGGGCCAUGUCGUCGGAUGGAGUGGACAGGGCAAAUUCAAGGAUUUUGUUGGAGGGAUCCGUUGCCAUCCUGCACCUCCAUGACUUCCUUACGUUGAAGCCCAAUGAGUGGCUUUGUGGGGAGAUUACUGACUUCUACCUCCAACUGUAGCGGAUUGACCUUCAAGUGGAGAGGGAUGUUUUUUCUUGUGGAUCACCUUCUGGCAGGGAAUAUCCUGCACGGGGAUAAGGUGAUGAUGCGCAAGAAUACCUUGUCAAAGAACAGUCUGGAGCAGCACAGUUACUUGAUUGGAGCUUGCAACGUGGCAAACUACCACUGGAUAGUCUUGCUGAGCUGCACAAGAUGGACCAUUUAGUGCGAGAUUGGACAGUCCUAUACUUGAAUAUAUUAUGUUUGAGGCCAUUUUGACACACUGACUUGGUAUUACCGCUUGCAUUUAGUAUGUCAAUCGCAGGACCUACUCUGCCAUUGUCCUGGACCUUACUGGUUCCCCUAAUGUGGAGCGCCAUAUGAGUGAGAACCUAGUCAAGCACAUCAGAUACUGGUUUGAGAAACGAACCUACUGAAACGGCACAGAAUCUGUGUUCAGCAAUGUUUCCUGGCAGGCGACAACAAUACUUCACACACGCAAAGAGACGGCUACAAUUGUGGAGUUUGUGCUGCUGAUGGCCAGAGUUAAUGCAGAGUGAGAAGGCACUAAUUGACCCAGCUGUCCCAAUGCAUGUUAACAUCGGUCGAGCCAGAAUAGAGGUGGCCAAAGAGAUCCUGGACAAAGGUGAG